rnacentral:lncRNA from 1 species
UGACACAUUUUAAUAGUGACAGAGUCAAUCAAGGUCCAUUUAAUCACAGCAUUUACACUGAAUUUCAGUCAUAAAGGACCUCAGAGGUUAUAAAAUUCAACCUAUCAAAUCAUGUAAGGAACCUGAGUGCUGAUCAGAGGUAAGAUUUGAACCGAGAUUUCUUUGACUUUAGAGUCAAUACGCC